UUUCCUGCACUUGUUUCUCUCUUUGUUUUUUCUUUCUUAGAAUUUGUUUUUGAAACUGUGUUUUUGAAACUCUGUUCAAUUUCUCUCUUUGUUCAAUUUGUUUUUUCUUUCUUAGAAUUUCCUGCACUUCUUAUAAAUUGAUUUAGGUUUUGAAUUGGUUAUUUAGUAGUUAGGUUUUGAAUUUAGGUUUUAAUUAAGUUGUUUAAGGGGUUGGUAUCUAAUGUGACAGGAAGAAAGUAGUGAGGAAGAAAGGAAUAAGGAUUGAUCUUCAAAUUUGGGAUAGUUUGUUUGAGAUAUGGUGAACCACGAGUAGAACAUGUUUGUGAAUUUGUCUCAGUGAAUAUAGGUACACUGCUGUGAUUAUCAUUUGGUUAUGAAGUGAGCAUGUAAUAGUUACUCACCAAUUUUGAACGAGAAUUCAAAUUACUUACUAGGGCUAUCCCUUAAAUUCUUGAUAUUCUGCUUGCAUUAUAAUUAAUUAUCCAUGUUCUUAUGAGAUAUUAUGUCAUAUAAUGCAAGCUAGUGAGGUUUUAAUUGGUGAUUUCCCAAUAUUUUUCAUUUCUUAGACCUUAAUUGAUGGUUGUGAUCCUAAGCUUUUAUUUCCUGUCCUCCUUUCUCUGUUCUAUCAUUUCUAUAUAUGAAGUUAGUGUUAAGAGAAUGUAUGUACAUGCUUGGUCAACUUCAUUUUGCAGGUGCUAGAGUAUCUGGCUGUGGGAAAGAUACUGACAUUUGAACAUAUCAAUGGUGGUCUCCCAUGUCAUGGAAUGGAGAGGUCUAAGAGUCCUUGUUGUUGAUGAUGACCCAACAUGACUUAGGAUCCUUGAAAAGAUGCUCAAGAAGUGUUCCUAUGAAGGCAUGACCGGUCCAAGGCGGUAAAAAUCUUAGUAAAGGAUUUGAAAGUGUUUGCUACUUUUAAUGAAGAAUUGUUCAAAGAAAUCACACAGCUUUUGACAUUGGAGAAUUUUAGGUUUGGGUAUAUAUAUUGGCAUCUUGUGGGUUUUGGUGUUAUCGUUGUCCAAAAAGUGAGCAUUGAUAGGAUUUCGAACAAUUUCCAAUUUUAAAAUUGUAAAUAGGCUACUUGAAUCUGUAUAUAGGACAAUUGUUUAUGUUGUUGUCUUCCUGGGAUGUGUUCUGUUCCAUAGUGCUCCAUUGGAUGCAGGGACAAUUUUCACAGUUCUUGCAACAUUGAGGAUCAUGUCAGAACUAGUUAGGAUGAUCCCUGAGGCUCUCUCUAUUCUUAUCCAAGUUGUGGUAUAUUUCGAUCGGCUCAAUACCUUUUUGCUUGCUGAAGAGUUAGGCAGUAAUAAAAUUGCAAGGAGUGUUAAGCAAAGUUCAGUUGGUGACAACAAUGCUGUAGAAAUUGAAGAUGAAAACUUUACCUGGGAUUCCAGACCACCUGCUGAGGGCAAUGAUUGUGAAGAUCUAAAAUACAAUACAUGAUGUCUUGUAUGAUGGGGACAUUUGGUUAUGUUGCACUGGAGUAGGCAUGCAUUGGAAUGCUGACUGAGAAGAGUGAUGUUUAUAGCCUUGGGAUACUUAUUAUGGAAAUAAUUACCGGAAGAAGUCCCGUUGAUUAUAGUAAAUCCCAAGGAGAGAUUAGAGGCUAUAACCAAUAAUAGUAUACAGUUUUGGUUUUAAUCUUCUUACACUGUUCUAUGCUGAUUAUUUUCUCUCUUUUUCUAUUUUUCUAACUAGAAUUUGGUAUAUUUGCAGGUUAAUUUAAUUGAAUGGUUGAAAGCUAUGGUUGGCAAUAGAAAUCAGAGGAACUCAUUGAUCCGAACCUUCCUGAAAAGCCAUCUUCAAAGGUUCUUAAGCUUUGCUCUGUUGGUUGCUCUUAAAUGUGUUGAUCCAGAUGCCACAAAGAGACCUAAAAUCGGACAAAUAAUCCACAUGCUUGAGGCCGACGAGAUCCUAUUCAGUGAUGAACGGAGGACUGGAGGGGAAUCGUUGCGAUCCCAUGGCAAUUAUCAUCAUGAGCAAAAGGACUCUAACAGAGAUAGAAAGCGAAUAGGUAAAGAGAUCACUGAUUGAAGUGAAGAUGAUAAUAGCAGUAAAAAUCUUGUCCAUCCCACUAGGUUGAGAUGAUAGUUGUUAAAUGGUAAAUGUAGCUAUGUAUUUAUUAUUUUUGGUUUUAGUAGUUUGCCUAUAUUAAUUUCUACCUCAAUCUGAACAAUAUGCAAUGAGUGUAUUUUUGCUGCAUAAUUUUUCCUCCCACCACAAUUUGGGAUUCAUUGUAUACUCAUUCAUUAUUACUAAAAAUCAAAAUUUUGAUGUCGUCCUUCUGAUUUAUAAGACAAAAAGUAGCUCAAGUGUUUUAUAAAAAGUAAUAAUAUUUUCAAGUUGCUCAAA